UAGCCUACGGGAGGCAGCAGUGGGGAAUCUUCCGCAAUGGGCGGUAGCCUGAACCAGCCAAGUAGCGUGAAGGAUGAAGGUUCUAUGGAUUGUAAACUUCUUUUAUAAAGGAAUAAAGUGAGGCACGUGUGCCUUUUUGUAUGUACUUUAUGAAUAAGGAUCGGCUAACUCCGUGCCAGCAGCCGCGGUAAUACGGAGGAUCCGAGCGUUAUCCGGAUUUAUUGGGUUUAAAGGGAGCGUAGAUGGGUUGUUAAGUCAGUUGUGAAAGUUUGCGGCUCAACCGUAAAAUUGCAAUUGAUACUGGG
rnacentral:rRNA from 1 species